AGUGAACGCUGGCUGUAGGCCUAACACAUGCAAGUCGAACGGCAGCACAGUAAGAGCUUGCUCUUACGGGUGGCGAGUGGCGGACGGGUGAGGACUACAUCGGAAUCUACUUUUUCGUGGGGGAUAACGUAGGGAAACUUACGCUAAUACCGCAUACGACCUACGGGUGAAAGCAGGGGAUCUUCGGACCUUGCGCGAUUGAAUGAGCCGAUGUCGGAUUAGCUAGUUGGCGGGGUAAAGGCCCACCAAGGCGACGAUCCGUAGCUGGUCUGAGAGGUUGACGAGCACACUGGAACUGAGACACGGUCCAGACUCGUACGGGAGGCAGCAGUGGGGAAUGUUGGACAAUGGGCGCAAGCAUGAUCCAGCCAUACCGCGUGGGUGAAGAAGGCCUUCGGGUUGUAAAGCCCUUUUGUUGGGAAAGAAAAGCAGCAGGUUAAUACCCCGCUGUUCUGACGGUACCAAAAGAAUAAGCACCGGCUAACUUCGUG
rnacentral:rRNA from 1 species